rnacentral:rRNA from 1 species
UGGGGAAUAUUGCACAAUGGGCGCAAGCCUGAUGCAGCCAUGCCGCGUGUAUGAAGAAGGCCUUCGGGUUGUAAAGUACUUUCAGCGGGGAGGAAGGGAGUAAAGUUAAUACCUUUGCUCAUUGACGUUACCCGCAGAAGAAGCACCGGCUAACUCCGUGCCAGCAGCCGCGGUAAUACGGAGGGUGCAAGCGUUAAUCGGAAUUACUGGGCGUAAAGCGCACGCAGGCGGUUUGUUAAGUCGGAUGUGAAAUCCCCGGGCUCAACCUGGGAACUGCAUUCGAAACUGGCAGGCUAGAGUCUUGUAGAGGGGGGUAGAAUUCCAGGUGUAGCGGUGAAAUGCGUAGAGAUCUGGAGGAAUACCGGUGGCGAAGGCGGCCCCCUGGACAAAGACUGACGCUCAGGUGCGAAAGCGUGGGGAGCAAACAGG